AAUUGCGUUGCGGUAAUCAACGGUUCAGGUAAGUUUGUUCUUACUUAACUCUAAUAAGAGUGUUUUAUUCAAGCUUAUUGGUUAAAUCAUUGUUGAUUGCCAUGAAAAUUGUACUCUGUACAUCUUGCAUGUAUAAGUCAGGUAUGAAAGGCUGAUCACCUUCAUUACCAGUUGAUUCCGAAAUGUUUGUUCAUGUUUAAAACUUGUUAAGUCAAAAGUUUGUUCCUGCUAGUUCUCAAUUAUAUUGAUGAAUUAUAGCCAGCUCAUUAGUCAUACUCUUCAAUCAUGAUAUAUCCUUAUAUUGUUGUAUUUAAACUUGCU
rnacentral:lncRNA from 1 species